AUUGAACGCUGGCGGCAGGCUUAACACAUGCAAGUCGAGCGGGGGAAGGUAGCUUGCUACCGGACCUAGCGGCGGACGGGUGAGUAAUGCUUAGGAAUCUGCCUAUUAGUGGGGGACAACAUCUCGAAAGGGAUGCUAAUACCGCAUACGUCCUACGAGAGAAAGCAGGGGAUCUUCGGACCUUGCGCUAAUAGAUGAGCCUAAGUCGGAUUAGCUAGUUGGUGGGGUAAAGGCCUACCAAGGCGACGAUCUGUAGCGGGUCUGAGAGGAUGAUCCGCCACACUGGGACUGAGACACGGCCCAGACUUCUACGGGAGGCAGCAGUGGGGAAUAUUGGACAAUGGGGGGAACCCUGAUCCAGCCAUGCCGCGUGUGUGAAGAAGGCCUUAUGGUUGUAAAGCACUUUAAGCGAGGAGGAGGCUACUUUAGUUAAUACCUAGAGAUAGUGGACGUUACUCGCAGAAUAAGCACCGGCUAACUCUGUGCCAGCAGCCGCAGUAAGAC
rnacentral:rRNA from 1 species